UGAACGCUGGCGGCGUGCCUAACACAUGCAAGUCGAGCGGCAGCGAGGGGUGCUUGCACCCUGUCGGCGAGCGGCGGACGGCUGAGUAACGCGUGGGAACGUGCCCCAAAGUGAGGAAUAACUGCCCGAAAGGGUAGCUAAUACCGCAUAUUAUCUUCGGAUCAAAGGAUUUAUCCGCUUUGGGAGCGGCUCGCGUCGGAUUAGGUAGUUGGUGAGGUAAUGGCUCACCAAGCCGACGAUCCGUAGCUGGUCUGAGAGGAUGACCAGCCAGACUGGAACUGAGACACGGUCCAGACUCCUACGGGAGGCAGCAGUGAGGAAUCUUCCACAAUGGGCGAAAGCCUGAUGGAGCAACGCCGCGUGCAGGACGAAGGCCUUCGGGUUGUAAACUGCUUUUAUAAGUGAGGAAUAUGACGGUAACUUAUGAAUAAGGAUCGGCUAACUACGUG
rnacentral:rRNA from 1 species